rnacentral:misc_RNA from 1 species
AAAGUCGUAACAAGGUCUCCGUUGGUGAACCAGCGGAGGGAUCAUUACGAGAGUGUCACCGCUCCCAACCCAUUGUUUACCUACCCGUCCACCGUGCUUCGGCAGGCAGCCCUGUGGGACAGGGCCCCGCCUCCCUCCGGGGGGGUGCCUGCCGCUGGCCAACCAAAAAUUCAGCUGUUUUUGUACCAUCCGAGUCUUCCACAAAUAAACAAAACUUUCAACAACGGAUCUCUUGGUUCUG